rnacentral:rRNA from 1 species
CACAACUAUCCUCACCUGAUUUCAGAAACUAAGUAGGAUCAGGCUGGGUUAGUACUUGAAUGGGAGACCAACAGGGAAAUCCUGUUUGGGC